AUUGAACGCUGGCGGCAGGCCUAACACAUGCAAGUCGAGCGGAUGAAGGGAGCUUGCUCCUGGAUUCAGCGGCGGACGGGUGAGUAAUGCCUAGGAAUCUGCCUGGUAGUGGGGGAUAACGUCCGGAAACGGGCGCUAAUACCGCAUACGUCCUGAGGGAGAAAGUGGGGGAUCUUCGGACCUCACGCUAUCAGAUGAGCCUAGGUCGGAUUAGCUAGUUGGUGGGGUAAAGGCCUACCAAGGCGACGAUCCGUAACUGGUCUGAGAGGAUGAUCCGUCACACUGGAACUGAGACACGGUCCAGACUCCUACGGGAGGCAGCAGUGGGGAAUAUUGGACAAUGGGGGAAAGCCUGAUCCAGCCAUGCCGCGUGUGUGAAGAAGGUCUUCUGAUUGUAAAGCACUUUAAGUUGGGAGGAAGGGCAGUAAGUUAAUACCUUGCUGUUUUGACGUUACCAACAGAAUAAGCACCGGCUAACUUCGUG
rnacentral:rRNA from 1 species